GACGAACGCUGGCGGCGUGCCUAAUACAUGCAAGUAGAACGCUGAAGGAGGAGCUUGCUUCUCUGGAUGAGUUGCGAACGGGUGAGUAACGCGUAGGUAACCUGCCUGGUAGCGGGGGAUAACUAUUGGAAACGAUAGCUAAUACCGCAUAAGAGUAGAUGUUGCAUGACAUUUGCUUAAAAGGUGCAAUUGCAUCACUACCAGAUGGACCUGCGUUGUAUUAGCUAGUUGGUGAGGUAACGGCUCACCAAGGCAACGAUACAUAGCCGACCUGAGAGGGUGAUCGGCCACACUGGGACUGAGACACGGCCCAGACUCCUAUGGGAGGCAGCAGUAGGGAAUCUUCGGCAAUGGACGGAAGUCUGACCGAGCAACGCCGCGUGAGUGAAGAAGGUUUUCGGAUCGUAAAGCUCUGUUGUAAGAGAAGAACGAGUGUGAGAGUGGAAAGUUCACACUGUGACGGUAUCUACCAGAAA
rnacentral:rRNA from 1 species